GGAAACAGCUUGCUGCUUCUGCUGACGAGUGGCGGACGGGUGAGUAAUGACUGGGAAACUGCCUGAUGGAGGGGGAUAACUACUGGAAACGGUAGCUAAUACCGCAUAACGUCGCAAGACCAAAGAGGGGGACCUUCGGGCCUCUUGCCAUCGGAUGUGCCCAGAUGGGAUUAGCUAGUAGGUGGGGUAACGGCUCACCUAGGCGACGAUCCCUAGCUGGUCUGAGAGGAUGACCAGCCACACUGGAACUGAGACACGGUCCAGACUCCUACGGGAGGCAGCAGUGGGGAAUAUUGCACAAUGGGCGCAAGCCUGAUGCAGCCAUGCCGCGUGUAUGAAGAAGGCCUUCGGGUUGUAAAGUACUUUCAGCGGGGAGGAAGGGAGUAAAGUUAAUACCUUUGCUCAUUGACGUUACCCGCAGAAGAAGCACCGGCUAACUCCGUGCCAGCAGCCGCGGUAAUACGGAGGGUGCAAGCGUUAAUCGGAAUUACUGGGCGUAAAGCGCACGCAGGCGGUUUGUUAAGUCAGAUGUGAAAUCCCCGGGCUCAACCUGGGAACUGCAUCUGAUACUGGCAAGCUUGAGUCUCGUAGAGGGGGGUAGAAUUCCAUGUGUAGCG
rnacentral:rRNA from 1 species